rnacentral:rRNA from 1 species
UGGGGAAUAUUGCACAAUGGGCGCAAGCCUGAUGCAGCCAUGCCGCGUGUGUGAAGAAGGCCUUCGGGUUGUAAAGCACUUUCAGCGAGGAGGAAGGUGGUGAACUUAAUACGUUCAUCAAUUGACGUUACUCGCAGAAGAAGCACCGGCUAACUCCGUGCCAGCAGCCGCGGUAAUACGGAGGGUGCAAGCGUUAAUCGGAAUUACUGGGCGUAAAGCGCACGCAGGCGGUUUGUUAAGUCAGAUGUGAAAUCCCCGGGCUCAACCUGGGAACUGCAUUUGAAACUGGCAAGCUAGAGUCUCGUAGAGGGGGGUAGAAUUCCAGGUGUAGCGGUGAAAUGCGUAGAGAUCUGGAGGAAUACCGGUGGCGAAGGCGGCCCCCUGGACGAAGACUGACGCUCAGGUGCGAAAAGCGUGGGGAGCAAAACAGGAUUAGAUACCCCUGGUAGUCCACGCUGUAAAACGAUGUCGAUUUUGGAGGUUGUGCCCUUGAGGCGUGGCUUCCGGAGCUAACGCGUUAAAUCGACCGCCUGGGGAGUACGGCCGCAAGGUUAAAACUC